AGAGUUGCAAAAUCAGCGGCCAAAGAUUAAUAUAAUCUUUUUGUUGUUGCCAAAAAAAAAAAACAGUAUUGGUGAGGUCAAAGGCUGGUCAAAUAAUGGUGAUAAUGGUAGUAGUGGUGCGGUAGUCCUAGUAAUCAAGUGAUAAUGCUUGUUUAUUGUGGACAUUCAAUUUGGCUUCGUAAAACCUAGAAAAUCUUAAAGUGAAUCCUAAAAAAAAAGGGUCUUUAUUCCUCAUUGUUCUUUAAGAAAGUUCGUAAGGUGUUAGAUGUAGGCCACGCUUUGGGUAUUGAAUUUAGAGGAGGGAGAAAGUAUAAUUUGAAGAAACUUGUCGAAAUGCAAGAGAAAGAAUUAAAGGAAAGGUCCCAAGCUCUAGAUGACGCUCUGGAGGAGUUUGUCUCGGAAGAUGAUUGUGUGGAUGGUACGUGUAUCUCUAUCUAUGGUUUUUUAAUAUCGAGUUGUGGCGGGUUAGGGGGGUUUUUUUUUCCGGUGUCUUCGAGUUUUUUUUCUUUCGGCUGGUUGUUUUUGGGCUAUUUUGGUUUUUGUGGUUCCUUUUUGGUGUGCGGCUAGCGUCUUGCCUUCCCUUAGGUCUCGGGUGGCUUUUUGCCAGUGUAUUCAUGAUCCUUUUAAUCUUUAUAAUCCUUUAUAAAGAUUAAUAAAUUCUUUUUGCCUUGAAGGUUUGGGAAUUAAAAGACUUCUUGAACACAACAUUGCUCGAUCUCUUAGCAAAAUGGUGAUGGAGAUUCAGCUCUGAAAAGCAAUCUUUAUGGGUUAAAUUGGUCACUAAAAAAUACAAAUCUAUCUAUCUAUUAAUAUCCUAUAGGAAUGUAUGUGAACCCCUAAAACCUCCAAACUUUCAAUUCUAAAUUCCUAGAUUUUCCAUUUUCUUUAAAAAUAACGAACCCCACGUUCACCUGUAUUCCCAAAUUUUUCAUUCUCUUUAAAAAAAAAAACAAACAAACCCCACAUUCACCUCACCUGUCUCCUAAUAACUCCCACGCCCUCCCUCUCCUUUCCUCCUUUCCAGCAUGCCACUUCAACCCCCACAUCCCCCCUAGUCGAUCCCCAUGUCUACUAUUUCCUCUUUUUCUCUUCUUCUACUAAUUAAAACUCUUCUCAUGCAACUCCUCACCAUUUUUCUCAUUCUAUUAAUCAUCACCGAUGCAACUCCUCACUUUUCCUUUUCUUUAAUCUUCACCAUUUCCGUAUUGUAGCCAAAAGGGGAAGUUUACACAUCAAUCCAUACAUAAUUUUGAAAGCUAGAGGCUACGUUUUGUUUAAGUUCUCAUCAACUCUCAAAGGAUGUCGAGCUCUUCUUCGUGAGGAUCAUUUGGUACGAGU